rnacentral:rRNA from 1 species
GACGAACGCUGGCGGCGUGCUUAACACAUGCAAGUCUUACGAGAAAGGGUAGCAAUAUCCUGAGUAAAGUGGCGCACGGGUGAGUAACACGUAGGCAAUCUGCCUUUAGGACGGGAACAACUCAGCGAAAGUUGAGCUAAUACCCGAUAAUGCAGCGGCUCCGCAUGGAGACAGUUGUUAAAUCCCGCAAGGGGCCUAUUGAUGAGCCUGCAUCUGAUAGCUAGUUGGUGAGGUAACGGCUCACCAAGGCUACGAUCAGUAGCUGGUCUGAGAGGAUGAUCAGCCACACUGGAACUGAGACACGGUCCAGACUCCG